rnacentral:rRNA from 1 species
GGCGAAGCGCGGGCCCGCGGCGUGGGUGAGAGGGGGGGGGCGAGCGUGGUUCGGAAUUACUGGGCGUAAAGCGCGCGUAGGCGGCUUUGUAAGUUAGAGGUGAAAGCCCGGAGCUCAACUCCGGAACUGCCUUUAAGACUGCAUCGCUAGAAUUGUGGAGAGGUAAGUGGAAUUCCGAGUGUAGAGGUGAAAUUCGUAGAUAUUCGGAAGAACACCAGUGGCGAAGGCGACUUACUGGACACAUAUUGACGCUGAGGUGCGAAAGCGUGGGGAGCAAACAGGAUUAGAACCCCUGUAGUC